rnacentral:rRNA from 1 species
AGAGUUUGAUCCUGGCUCAGAUUGAACGCUGGCGGCAGGCCUAACACAUGCAAGUCGAGCGGCAGCACGGGUACUUGUACCUGGUGGCGAGCGGCGGACGGGUGAGUAAUGCCUAGGAAUCUGCCUGGUAGUGGGGGGAUAACGUUCGGAAACGAACGCUAAUACCGCAUACGUCCUACGGGAGAAAGCAGGGGACCUUCGGGCCUUGCGCUAUCAGAUGAGCCUAGGUCGGAUUAGCUAGUUGGUGAGGUAAUGGCUCACCAAGGCAACGAUCCGUAACUGGUCUGAGAGGAUGAUCAGUCACACUGGAACUGAGACACGGUCCAGACUCCUACGGGAGGCAGCAGUGGGGAAUAUUGGACAAUGGGCGAAAGCCUGAUCCAGCCAUGCCGCGUGUGUGAAGAAGGUCUUCGGAUUGUAAAGCACUUUAAGUUGGGAGGAAGGGCAUUUACCUAAUACGUAAGUGUUUUGACGUUACCGACAGAAUAAGCACCGGCUAACUCUGUGCCAGCAGCCGCGGUAAUACAGAGGGUGCAAGCGUUAAUCGGAAUUACUGGGCGUAAAGCGCGCGUAGGUGGUUCGUUAAGUUGGAUGUGAAAUCCCCGGGCUCAACCUGGGAACUGCAUCCAAAACUGGCGAGCUAGAGUAUGGUAGAGGGUGGUGGAAUUUCCUGUGUAGCGGUGAAAUGCGUAGAUAUAGGAAGGAACACCAGUGGCGAAGGCGACCACCUGGACUGAUACUGACACUGAGGUGCGAAAGCGUGGGGAGCAAACAGGAUUAGAUACCCUAGUAGUCC